CGGCACGGGUGAGUAACGCGUAUGCAACUUACCUAUCAGGAGGGGGAUAACCCGGCGAAAGUCGGACUAAUACCGCAUGAAGCAGGGGCCCCGCAUGGGGAUAUUUGCUAAAGAUUCAUCGCUGAUAGAUAGGCAUGCGUUCCAUUAGGCAGUUGGCGGGGUAACGGCCCACCAAACCGACGAUCAGUAGCCGGCCUGAGAGGGCGGACGGCCACAUUGGGACUGAGACACGGCCCAAACUCCUACGGGAGGCAGCAG
rnacentral:rRNA from 1 species